GAAGGUAAAAACAUAAGAGAAUAGGAAUAUAACAUUUAGUAACAAGGCAUGCAGAAUAUUUAGAAGGCUAGUUUAGCCAUUUUUUAUUAUUGGAUGGGACAUGGUCCCAAUCAUUCAUUUGUCUGUUUUUUUUUUUUUUCAUUUUUCUUUUACUUUGUUAGCCUAUUCUUUACUUGGAAAAAGAUGACAAACCUUGAGCAUGAAGAAUCCCAUUUCUAGCAAAUGGCUUGAGCAUGACCUAGGACAAGUCAUACACCUGAUUUAUUUAUUUAUUUUGUUUAUACUCAUGUCAAAUACUUGUAAAUUAUGUGAGAAAUAAUUCUUUUUUUCUACUUUUGUAUGCACAUUCCUCUCUGCUAUUUAUUAUUAAUAUUAUUAUUUUUUGUUUUGUACAGGAAAUCCAAAAAUUAUUUGGUUAAGAGCUCAAGUUCUUUUGUAUAGGAAUCAAAGGAGGCUACAGGGGUUAAUAUAUCGAGCAUCACUAUGACUUUCCAUGAGGGAACUAUCUAGACUGGAGAAUGAUAGUCCAAGAGUGAAUAUUGCCACAUCAGGAUGCACUGCAUUACUACGUGAGAAAAACAUUCGAAUUGAAAAGAAUGUGAUUGAAGGAUCGAUUGUUACCGUCAAGAUAUUGUACGGACAAGGGGGAGCUAAUAUAUAUUAAAAAUCGAUGGUUAUGUUCUUAUUUUGCAAAAGAUGAUUGUUUCUUUUUGAAUUUAGUGGUUUAAUUUUUAUUCCUUGUUGACAUCAACAUAUUGGAUGGCUGGGAACUUUUUUAAUAUUCAUAUUGGCUUAAAAUUUUUUUUUGACACGGUACUAGACUUAAUGUUUUUGGUUUAAUUAGAUUUUUGUUAUUCUAAUUAAUACAUGUUAUAUUGUAUGUGG